UGACCCAGAGUCACACAAACAUUAGAGACACGUUGUUAGGGAAGGACAAGGAGUCCACCAGUUGGAGAAGCCAGGACAUCUUCCAAGAAAUGGACUGAAACCACAGCAGUAACUCUCACCCCAGGUAUCUGUCUCGAGGCCACCCUCCCUCAGAUGCAAACAGAGGCCACACUGGCCCCCAAAUCCACUGCUCUGAGAAAGUGGAACUGGUGCCCACCAGGCUGAGGUCAUGACUGAGGUCUUCACAUACAAGCCAUUUGUAGAGAAUUUGUAAAUAUCCACCAAAUAGUGAUUUGCAGAAUAUAAAUUUGCAGAAUAUAAUAGGGUGUGUUGGAAGCACCAAUAAAUAAAUAUUGGGGCUGUAAAAAGUUUAGUCUGAGAAAAAGGGAAGCAGUUACUUUACUGCAGUGUAACUUUGGUAAAAGCAAAAGAAAAAUCUGAAGAAACAAAAUCCAAUUUGGUGAAUCUGACCACAUAAGCAAUAUGAGAGUAAACCAGUCUAGGUUAACUCCCAAGCUUACCACUUCCUAGCUUUGUUACCCUGGGCACAUGUGAACAAAAGUUCUCUAAAAAGGAAUUUUGAGGAAAGAGACUUUAUUCCAGAGAAGUGAUUGCAAACUUGGAAGAUGCAACCUUCAAUGUAAAGGAAAGGUGCCAUCCAGAGAACAAAGGGAGAGUUUUGCUUUUAUAGAGAAAAUUCACACCCAGGUUCCCAAUCAGGUUCAUUUAUGCAAAUGAAGCAUUCAAACUUGCUUAGUUCUAAUUGGUUGAUAUAGUUGAUCCCUGAUUGGCCAAGGCAGGUGAGCUCUGAUUGGUUAGUUCCCAAAUUAGACAUUUGGGAGUUCUGAAGGUCCCAACCUUAAACCCGAGGAAUGAGUUUUCUGGGAACUAAAAGAUAUGUGUGACCUCUAAUUAGCAAAUGACUGCUUGACUAUUUUAAAUUUAGGCUCAGUUAGGCUCUUGGGAUUCAUUUUGAAGAACUGGCUCUUUCAGGUUCACAUUUGGAAAUAUUUCAUAUUUCUUCUCCAAUCUGAGCCCCAUGACCUAUAGCAGCUUAGUAUUAUGCAAAGCCCACUGAUUUUUUAAUCAGAUGGCCAAGCCCAGGCUGUCUGACAAUAGCAAGUCACAUGGACUUACUGAGCAUUAAUUUCCUCAUCUGUACUUGAAAAUCAAAUCUGAGUGAAAUUUACCUUGGUGUUCACAGAUCCUAGCACCGGGAAAAUGCCCAAGAAAUGCAAGUUACCAUUAUUAGCAGUAUUCCUAGUGUCACUCUGAUUAAUAUAAACAAUGAGAGCAAUAAUACCUACUUCACAGUGCUGUUGAAUAGACUAAUUACUAAUGAAUAAAAUCAUUUAACCAGCCUUGUAAUGUGAAGUACAUAAACAAAUACUUGGUUCAUUUGCUUCUUUCUCACCAGCUUUUUCUUGGCUGAAAACAAACUUUCCAUUUAAAAUCAAAAUUUCAGUAAUGAUAACAAGAUCUCUUCUCCAUGGUUUUCUGUUGGCUGAGUCUGUGUGGUUCAUUGAUAUACCCAGAGGUGAUGUCAGCUCAGAAUUCGAAAGGGCAGAAUGAUGGGUGGUCCCAGGUGGAAGUCUUGAUAAGCUGAUAAGAUAGGAAGAGAAUGAAGAUAGAUAGGAAAUUAAAAAUAUUGGCAAGAGAGAGAUCAAAGCGAAGGGUCGUGGGGGUUAGGCUUGAAAAGGAGAGAAAGGCAAGAUGAGGUUGAUGGAUAGGAAGAAAGUGGAAGGUCAAAGAUUAGAGGGCUCCGAGAAAAGAAUGUGAAUGAGAACGGAAAUGACUGGAGGUUGUGGUUGGGAAGUGAGGUGUUAAAAUUUUAAAUUUCUGCUUCAGGAAACAGCAGGGCCAUAAUGGUGGAUGGCUGACACUGGGUGAGGAAAGGAUCCCCAGAGACUAGGAAGCAGAGGGUGUGAGAGAUCAGCAUGCUGAUGACUUGUUGGGAUCAUGGAAGGACGUGGAGAAGGAGGUUCAAGGUGUUGAAUGACGUGACAGCAGGCUGGCUGAGGAUGCACAUUCUGCAGAGAUGUCUGCUUAAACCAUAGCCCUCUGGGAACAGUGUCCCUUCUUCAGUACAGGCAAUUUCCAAUGAGUAGCUAGACUGUCACCUUCUCCCAGUUCUGUGUCCUGUUUUGGACUGAUACUUGUCUUCCUUAACAUGGAUAGCUGUCACCAUAAUUAGGGUUGGAGGCUGUGGUUCCCAGUCAAUCAGGAUCCUGCCAUUGACGAUUUUGCUAGUGCUUUCCUAGGCUUGCAGCCUUUGCACCCACCUUAAAUUCCUAUCCACAAACCUGGUCAAUAUCCCCAAGAGGAAAAUACUUUGUCCUACAUACAUUCCCCAUGCCCAAAUGUGCAGUCACCCUUACUCCUUUCAUAUCUGAACAUUGCUUCCUGAAGGUUUCAUGUGCAGAGACUCCUUCACACACAAUCUAGAAUAAAAUGUAACCAAUUUCCUCCUCCAUGAUAGAUGUGAUGUACUUAAUACUCACUAAUUGUUAAGGUAUUUAAUGGCUACAAUCUAUGAUGAAGGUGGAGAUGCUUUAAAGUAAUUUAUGGAAUUUAUGCCUGUUAAUUAAAUAAGCAUUUCACAUGUGCAUUGGUGAGUCUUUAUACAUUUUUUAAAAAAUGAACAUAUGAAUUUGUGAGACAUCAGAUCUGUCUAUUCUGCAGACAACUGUAGACCUCUAAACAAUAAACCCAUAGCCACGGAGAAGUGUCUGACCCACAGGUUGGGAACUGCAGGUUUAAGAUGUUUGGUCUUCACAACUCUAGAGAGAUUUUUUAAAUGAGGAAACCGAUACCCAGGCAUAAUAAGAAAAACAGAUCAACCACAGUAGGGACUUAAGCAUCAGGCAAGUGUGUAUUCAAACCCGGUCCUCAUACCUACAUGGCUUGAGAAUUCUUCCUUUUCUUCUACCUGCUGAACCCUGAGCUCCGCUGGUAAAGUGAAGCUAACCUCUGUUGCUUUACUUCUGACUUCUUCUGUGCCCAUAUGCUCUUCCGGUACAGGUCUGGCCUGGAGUAUACAGGGGUGAUUUGUCAUUUUACAAAACAAAUACAGUUCGGUUGAGAAGAGAGCCAAGUGAAAAAUAAUCCCAAGGCUAGAAAGCUACAGUGGAAGUUUGGAGCAAAAGAAAAAAACACAAACCAACCCCCCAAAAACAUAAAAGCUCAGGAUGAUUUAUUUCAUAAUUUAAAAAUCAAAAUUGCCUUCAGGCAGGAAGGCUUGUUUGCCCAGUUUUACCCUAGAGUGAGUCAUAAUAGCUAAGUUACAUACCCUUGGAAAAACCAGGGUUUUUCCAGUGGGAGCACUGAGAUGUCAUUAAGCCCAGCACUGUGUGUGGCGGUGCCAGAAUCAAAUGUCCUUUGAAAUUGAGACCAGCCAAGAGAAAGCCCCAGGGCCAGUGCUGCGUUUCUCCAGAACAUGUCAUGUCCCCGCCGUCUCAUCUAGGAGGUGGCAGGGAAAGAAUUGUGGGGAGCAAACAAUCACUCUAGCUGCAGGGAUAGGGCAGAGCUAGGUGGGCAGUGGGACAUAGACAAAGGAAAAUAUUAAUCACAAGGACUAGAUUGAAUUCCAUCUGCAGUAAGGACAUAGUCUGGACACAGCCACCAAUAAGUCCAGACCUGUAUCAGUUAUCUAGUGCCCCAAUAUUUCAGCAUAACAAAUAACCCCCAAACUUCAGAGGCAUGCAACAAUAAGCGUUGAUUUUCAUUCACAAGUCUGUGAGCCAGGCUUCGGCUAAUCUCAGCUGGCCUUGCUGUUGUAUCUGUGGUCAUCUAGUGCAUCAGUUGGGGAACAGCUGGUCUGGAAUGCUUUCACUCACAUGUCUGGCAUCUGCCUGGCUAUCAAUGAAGCAAUGGAGGUAUGUGGCUCAUGUGUCCACCGUCACCCAGGAGACUAGCCUGGGCUUGUUCACGUGGUGGUGGCAAAGUUCCAAGAAAGAAUGGAAGCACAAAAGGCUAAGUCACAACGCCAACCCAGAUUCGAGAGAUGAGAAAGUGGAUUCUAACUCUUGACCAAAGGAGAUGCAAAGUCCAAUGGCCAAGGCCACAGAUACAGAGAGAGGUGGAGAAUUGGGGACCUUUUAACAAUUUUCUACAAGAACAGUGCCGCUGGUGAUGUUGCAGAAGAGAGCUUAGACUUCAUCUAUGAAGCCACAGAGCAUGGUGUGGAAAUCUGCAGUUAGAAGAUGGAUUUUGUCGGACAGUAUAGGGACAAAAUAGUCCAAGCUCUCCAACAUAAAAUGGACUGUCUUAGGAGAUGAUACUUUUACAUGAUUAUAACUACUAAUGUUGAAUGUUUAUUACAGGAGUCAAUGUUCUGGGUGGCUCACAGGAAUUAAUCAUGGCAGUAACACCAUGAGCAGGGUCACUGUGAACUGUUAUGCAGGCAUGUUCUGCGGAAAGGGUCCACUUGGCUGAGAGGCAUGCUUCUUGCCGAAUCAUGAGUGCAGGUGUGGAGCUGUGUCCACUUGGAGGAAGGAAGACCUUUUGCUAAUGCAUAUCCAGGUGAUGUAUUAACUGGCAGCAGCCCAGCCUGCUUAUGAGGUUGGUAAUAGUGUAUUCUGACUUUCAUUUUAGAGUUAAACAACAUGAGACCUAAGAGAGUUUAGGUAAAUCACUCAGAAAUAUUCAGGUUUUGAGCAGAAGAGAGAUUUGAACUCAGGCAGUCUGCCUUCAGCUCAGGCUUUUGACCAUAAAACUAUCCUGCCUGGCUUGAUCCUUACAACAACCUACUAGAAAGGGAAGCCAUUUCUGUUUCACAGAUGGGAGAUUUAAGGCUCCAAAAGUCAAGGAACUUGCUAAAAAAUUAAGAGAUUCAGGUAUUGAAUGGCAGUAGGAUUUUUUCCCAUACCUGUCUAAUUCCAAAGCCUAUUUGCUUUUAACUGUAAACUAUCUCUUCUCCAUCAGUAGUCUAAGAAGUUCUCUAUCACUGAAAGCAUGCAAGAAGAGGCUAUAUGUCACGAUUGCUAGGAGAGAUUAAUGCAUCAGCUGAGAACUGUAAUUUAGUGUCCCUUUACCUUGAAAAUUCUAUAAAUAGGACUGGCCACGAAAGCUUUCUGGGUUGCUCCAUCCUUGCUCCGCUUGAUUCCUCAUGUUCAGAAGUAAGAUCAAGACAAGAAGUUCCCUUCCAUGGAAACAAAUAUCCAAAGCUGAGAAAGGCACGGAGAUGUAGACAGGACAUUUGCUUUACCUUUUAUUACUUACCUGCUCUGGGCUAGGGCAUUCAGGGGCCCUCAGAGUCUCACUGGGUUCCUAUUAACUGCCUGUUGCGUACAAUGGGCUUUGGAAAACACCCUUCCUUCUGGGAAAUCUUCCCAAACCUGCAAAAACUAUUUUGCUGACCUCCCAAUGGAAUUAUAUAGAAGAUAAUUUAAAAUAAAAUGUCUAACUCUGUGUGUCAGACUCACCAGUGUAGCCCUGGAAGGUUUAUGAGGACAGAGGGGAAAGAGGCUGGGCUACAAAGACCAGAAUAUUCUGGAGGCAUCGACACACCCUGGUUUCCUUUCCUGCCUCUAUCACUCUCUGGUUCUGAUUCCAACUCUCCUUAACUCUGAUGUAGAGCCUGGGAUUCCUUUGGAAUCGAGUACUCAUGCUCACCCACCCACACUAAUGGGAUGUGCUUCUUUAACCCUCCAGAUUUCAAAGGCACUGUCACUACCAGAAAAAUCCUGCCUCUGCCCCCAAAAUUCUGUCCCAACACAACUUAGCAGUUGAUGCGGUACAACGCAGGCUGGUCAACCAAUGGCACCAAUGGUACUGUUCAUCCCAGAAGGACACUGAGUUUGAGACCCAGCUCUACAAUUGAUCGAUUAGUAGCAUGACCUUGGGCAAGUGGCCUGAAACUAAGCCUCAGUUUCCUCAUCAGUAACAAAGAAAAAUAUUAUCUCCUGGGGUUAUAUUAAGAAUUCAAUGACCAACAUCAAAGACUACAGAAUUUCAGUUAGACAGAAGAAAUGCAUUUUUGAGAUCAAUUGCACAGCAUGAUGACUGCAGUCCCCAGUCUGACCACCUCUCACCACCUCCACAGCUCCAAGCUAACCUAGUCACUGUCAUCUUACCUGGAGUAUAUAAUAUAACAGCCUCUUCCCUGGUCUCUCUGCCCCAACCUGUGGAGGAAUUUGAGAGUGAAGCUCUCCCCUUGUAAGGAAGAGCAUGUCUAUGUCUCUAUACAGUUCCCCAUUUCACCCAGAAUCAAAGCCACAGCCUGGAAGUGGUGCAGAGAGCCUCACAGGCUGUGCCCACCCCCAUUUCCUCUUAAUCUCCUCUCUUACUCUCUCCUUCACUCACUCUACUCUAGCCACAGGGAGCUCCUUGCUGCGUCUCAAAACACACCAGGCACACUCCAUCCAAGCUCCUUUGUGAGAGCUUUCCCUCUGCUUCAAUUUCCCCAGAUAUCACUGUGGUUCAUUCUGCCCCCUUCACAUUUUUCAUCUUAUGCCAUCAGCUGCAAGGUGUCGUCCUACCACCCUAUUCACAACUGCAACCCUCUCUCACUCUCAGCACUCCAAUUUCUACAACCCUGUCCUUUUAUUGAUUUCCCAUUUUCAUUAGCAUUUAUCACAUUCAAGCAUAUUAUCUAACUUAAUCUAAUCUAACUUAUUUAUCAUGUUUAUUAUUUAUUGUCUCUCUCUCCGUUAGGAUAUAAGCUGCUACAGGGCAGGGCUUUUUGUCUAUCCUGUUCCCUGAUGGAUCCCAAGUGCCUGAUCCAGUGCCUUGCACAGAGUCUCUCAGGCUGCCCUCACCCCUGGGGGAAGUGGGGGAUGAAUUUGGCAGAGCUGGCCUCAGGAGGUGGAUGGCCUUGCUUCAGAGGCUCUCUGUCAAAACUCUUUCUACUGCUCAAUCAUCUUCCUGGGAAAAAAUAUCAGAUGGCAGGAUCGAGAGGGAGCAGUGUUGCCUGGACAGUGUGGGAAGUAAAUGGCACAGUAUGGGAUUAAAGAAGGAUAUUUGGUAAGUCCUGAACUUGUGUCCCACAAUCAGUUUUCCUCAGACAGGACAAUAAGACACUGCAGGCCUCAGAAGGAUCAAAGUAAAUCAGCCAUGCCUAGCAUAUACUGAAACCAUAUCUGCAAGUUCUGAAGAUCAUGGAACACACAGAAUGUUUGUUGAAUUCAUAUCAAGAUGAAUGAAAAUAAGCGUGGAAAAGAAACUAAGAAGUGAUUAUUCUGUUGUUUUCCAAGCUGGGCAAACCACAUGUGUAGCAAGGCUGGCAUUUGUCCUGAAUCACUAUGUUUCCAGGACCACAGACACCCAGGAGUAUAGUCAGAAGUAGGUACGUGGAUCUCAAAACAAUGUUAUAAGAAAGCUUGAAGGAAUGGAGAACAUUUAGCCCAGGAGAGCAUCCAUGGGACAUGACUAUUAUUUUCAGAAAAUGGAAGGCUCUUGAUGUAGGGCAGGGAAUCACAAUUGUUUUGUAUGGCCUCAAGGAGCACUGGAGCCAUGCAUGUGAAUUGCAUUUUAGCUUAGAAUUUAAACUUCGGAAAACAUUCUAAUAAUAGAGCUUUUAAAUAUAGAAUAGGCAGACUCAGUAGGAAGUCAGCCAUCUACAAGUAAAGGUCUUCAGCAUGUGCUCUAUCAGGUGACAGAUUCAAAAGUUAGUCUGGAUUACCUUUAAAGGAAAAAAUUAUUUGAUUCUAUGAAAGGGGGGAGAAAAGUCACUAUAUUAGUUGGAGUAAGGGCUCCAUAACAGAGACUCAACAAUUCAAUCACAUAAAGGGCCAGGAAAUUGAUGACUCUCUCCCAGAACACUGCAAGGCAGGUAGGCAGCCUCUGCUUCAUAAAACCAUCAUGGGAACCAGGCUGGGGUGGGAGAACCUCAAUGUGAGGCUUCUGAGGCAAACCCGGUUGUCAACCAUAUCCAGUCAGUGGGAGGAAACAGGCGAAGUCCAGGACUGGAUACUGCUUAUUAACCAUGGAAUACAGAAGUUGCACGCAUUACUUCUACUCCUGUUCCAUUGGUGUAUCUGGUCUCCUGACUACAUUUCACUGCAAGGGAUGCUGGGAAGUGUACUCUGAGCCAAGCAGCCAGGAAGAAAAAAAAUGAAUUGAGAAUCCCAUGGCAGACUUGUGAUGGACAUCCCAAUUAUCCUGAUUUGAUCAUUACACGUUGCAUGUAGGUAUCCGAAUAUCACAUAUACCCCAAAAAUAUGUACAACUAUUAUAUAUAAAUAAAAAAAAUUUUAAACAGCA